UAGCGCGGAGCCUGGCCUCACAGCUGAGCGGAGCUGGGAGAUGGGCCAGGGGCUCUCUGCUGCUGAGCCUUGCGGCCUUGCACUGCCAAAGUAGCUUUCCCACUGCUGCCCCUGGGGGAGCCUGAGACCCGAUUGGCCUCCUCCUCCCUGGAACAAGAGGUGGCUGGAUCCUAAGGGGUGUCCUGAGCUGCAGGGGGUCUCUCUGACUUACAAAAGAGUGAGUCAGUCUCCAAAGCCCCAGUCGCCUCAGGGGCCUGGACUUGCAGGAGCAGGGAGGGAGGGAAACCAGGCUGCCAUCUCCUCGGUUUCCAGCCCCGCAGCCCCAGGGGAGGAAGGGCCAGGUGCAACACGCAGGGCAGUUAUGAAACCUGAGAAGCAGCUGGAGGGACACUGGGCCGGUGCUUUGGGAACAGGCAGGUAUUGUGCGCUGGAGUGCAGCGGGGGAAUAGAAUACCCAUCAGCUCAGGCACAAACACCACCCCCGCCUGUGCACAGGGAGGGCCUUUCCAGGAGCCUGGGUGGUUUCAAACUGGAAUGUGAGAGGAAAGCUUGUGCCCACGAGGGCGUUGGUGACUGACACCCAGAAGAAGGGAGGCCCAGCCCUCACCCCUACACAGUUCGAUAGAUCGCAACGCCCAUGCCUGAGACAAUAUCUCCGAGAAUACAGAAACCCCACUGGACUGUUUGCACGGUCCUGUCUGGGGUACCGGGUCACAAACGUCAGUGCCUGCCGCGCCCCUGCACCCCGAAGACAGCUUGUAAGAGGUAGCAAAGCUCAGCGGGAGACUGAGCAACCAGACACGCCGGGCUUGCAAUGGUCAAACACUUCAUCUUUGUACUAGAGACAAAAGCUGUUGCCUGUUUGACUUUUCUCUCUCACGGUGGCUAGAGGCUGGGUAAGGGCAUUCUAGGCAUCUCUGCCACUAAGGUCACCAUAUCCCUCGUACCCCAACUUCCCCCUGGAGAAGGGCUGCACCUGCUCCCUAAAUGCUUGUCUUUUGUGCCUUUGCUUAUACCCUCCUUGUGUCCGCAAGCCUGACCAUUCUGUCAUUAUCUGCCCUUUAUUUCCAAAAUCCAGCUCCUCUGUGUGGCUUUUCCUGAUUCCUGCCCUUAAUUAAACUAUCCCAGUUAACCUUUGAUUGCAAACACCGCUUAUUAUAGCUAGUAGUGCUUACAGACAUCGCCUUAUUCGUGCUACGUCCCCCCCACCCCCACAAAGCCCAAGUGAGCCCCUGCACCGGGCAGCCCUGGCCCAGGAAAUGCUGAUGGACUUGUUGGACCCAAGGACUGAAGCUGCGACAGCUGUGAUCAAUCAAGAUUCCGCAGUCACCGUUCCCCAGGCCACCCGGAGUGUUUCCACGCCAGAGCCUGCUGCUGAGUGGAGAUGUCAUCUGAUUUAUUAAUUAAUGCAAACACUGUUCAUCCAAACGCUCCAGGGCAUGGUUAAAAAAAAAAACCUCAGAACAUUUAAAAAAUGAUAAAAAUAGUA